rnacentral:rRNA from 1 species
GACGAACGCUGGCGGCGUGCUUAACACAUGCAAGUCGAACGGAAAGGCACUGCUUUUGUGGGGUGCUCGAGUGGCGAACGGGUGAGUAACACGUGAGUAACCUGCCCUUGACUUUGGGAUAACUUCAGGAAACUGGGGCUAAUACCGGAUAGGAGCUCCUGCUGCAUGGUGGGGGUUGGAACGUUUCGGCGGUUGGGGAUGGACUCGCGGCUUAUCAGCUUGUUGGUGGGGUAGUGGCUUACCAAGGCUUUGACGGGUAGCCGGCCUGAGAGGGUGAACGGCGACAUGGGGACUGAGGGACGGCGCAGACUCCUACGGGGGGCAGUAGUGGGGAAUAUUGCACAGUGGGCGGGAGCCUGAUGCGGCAGCGCCGCGUGCGUGAUGACGGCCUUCGGGGUGUAAACCGCAUUCGCCUGUGACGAAGCGGUAGUGACGGUAAUGGGUAAAGAAGCACCGGCUAACUACGUG